AGGCAGACAGAACGAUGGCAUUCCCAGGAGUAGCGACUGGAAGCAUGAAGGCGUAUGCGCAGCAGGCGGUAGCAGGGAUCAGCAGAUAAAGUUCGCUAACAUAGGUAGCAGGAUGGAGGCCGUAGCGGUAUUCGAGGCAAACUCCGUCAUUCCACCGGCCAUUAAACACACCAGCACCACCAACGCUUCUUUCGGGAGAUCUUUAAGCCUGGUGAGCUGUUGGCUGAAGUAGAUGGACAGUCCGGAAUGCUUCGCACCCUCCGCUAAGACCAAGCCACCUCCCAGCAGGAUCACGAUUCCCCAGGGAACCUUUUUGUGCACUGCUUCCCAGUUCAUGCAUCUCUCCACCUGCUUCGCGCCUGGAGCUGUAAUGACGAGGGAAAAAAGAAAAUGUCAAUGGAGAAAGGGGGUAGUGAGGGGGAUUCGCAUGACAAAAUUUAUUUAUUUUCUCACACUUUCUUUAC